CUCCUACGGGAGGCAGCAGUAGGGAAUAUUGCACAAUGGGGGAAACCCUGAUGCAGCGAUGCCGCGUGAGUGAUGAAGGCCUUCGGGUCGUAAAGCUCUGUUCUACGUGACGAAACAAAUGACGGUAGCGUAGAAGAAAGGACCGGCUAACUUCGUGCCAGCAGCCGCGGUAAUACGAGGGGUCCUAGCGUUGUUCGGAAUCAUUGGGCGUAAAGCGUCUGUAGGCGGCUUUGUAAGUCAGGUGUGAAAGCCCCGGGCUCAACCCGGGAAGUGCAUUUGAUACUGCUUAGCUUGAAUGUUGGAGAGGAUAGUAGAAUUCCAGGUGUAGUGGUGAAAUACGUAGAUAUCUGGAGGAAUACCGGUGGCGAAGGCGGCUAUCUGGCCAAACAUUGACGCUGAGAGACGAAAGCGUGGGGAUCAAACAGGAUUAGAUACCCUGGUAGUCCACGCCGUAAACGAUGGGCACUUGGUGUUGGAGGUAUUGACCCCUUCAGUGCCGAAGCUAACGCGAUAAGUGCCCCGCCUGGGGAGUACGGCCGCAAGGUUAAAACUCAAAGAAAUUGACGGGGGCCCGCACAAGCGGUGGAGCAUGUGGUUUAAUUCGAUGCAACGCGAAAAACCUUACCUGGGCUCGAAAUGUAGAGGAAGACAGUAGAGAUAUUGUCGCCUUCGGGUCU
rnacentral:rRNA from 1 species